GUCACUAGUCCUCGGAGAGUAGACCUUGCUCUGCAGAAGAACCGGAAGGCACCAGGCCGGUCUAGGCUGGUGAGUGUCACCUCGCGCUGGGUGUGGCCGGCACAGGUUGGAGAAGGUCACCGAUGAUGCUGUCACUCUCUUCUGGCCCCUGGGACCCUGCAGGCAGCAGCUCUUCCCAGGUGCUAAGCAGCCAGUGGGAUUAAUGUCUCUCCACCUGCGGGGUCUGCACGAGGGGCUGCUUCUGGGAGGACCCUGCCUGGGUAGUGGCCUCAGAUGCCCCCCUGGGCAGCACCCCAUGUCUUGGCCUGGGGCUCUGGAGGCCUGGGCCGGAGGCGCUGAAGUGGGACAGGAAGGAAGCGGGGAGCAGAGGAGGCCAAGGCUGUCGCCUCCCGGCCCGAGAGGGGCCUGCAGUAAACAGGAAGGCAUGGAGGCUCCACGGUGCGCGGACUGCAGAGGGGCGAGGUUGGGGCCACACUGGACAUGCGCAGCCUGUGAGCCUGGGGCUCCUGCUCACCCCCGGGAAGCGGCCCAGAGAGGUUGCGUGGCUUCCCCUGGGGUCACACAGCCACUAGACUUUGUCUGCCGCUCCUGUUUCUGUCUCUUCCUGUGGUUCCAGUGCAGGGCCUCCUGUCUGAACUGCUCACUGCAGCUCAGUUUCCCUCUCUCUCUGAGCUCAGCAGCCAUACAGCUCGGAGGCUCUGAAGCCCUGGCCCCAUGGACCCCUGUGCUUCCUUGGUGGUCCUUGGGGUGCUCCAGAACUCGGGGAGCAGGUGUCGCCAGGAAGACCAACACCGCCUGGGCCCAACAUCAGCUACAGGAUCCCGGACUCCCUUCCCUGGGGAAAGGGAAAGUGACUCUGAGGGACCCUGCUCUUCCAGUACAGCAGGUUCAAGAAACAAGGAGGGGCCAUGUGACUGGAGCAGACUGAGCAAGGGGAACAGAGCAGAAAGUAAGAUCGAAAAGGUGAGGGAGCUUGUCGACCAUUGGUGAGGCUCCAGCUUUUAUUCCGAGUGAAGUGGUUGCCAGUGGAGGGCACUGGACAGAGAAAGGAUAAAAGCUGAAUCGGCUCUUUUUUAGACAGGGUCUCCCUAAAUCGCCCAGCCUGGCCUUGAACUGGAAAUCCUCCUGCCUCAGCCUCCUGAACAGCUAGGCUUCCGGGUGUGCACCACCACUCCUGGCUCCUGAGUGGGCUGUAACAGGCUCCCUUGCCAGUGUGGAGAAAGGGGUCAAGGGAAGAAGCAAGGACAACCGAGUGAGGAGGUGACUCUGACGUUCCCAGAGGCAGAGGCCAGGUGGCAGCGGAACCACUGAGCUACAUCCUCAGCCCAACAGUGUGGUAUUUCUGAACAACAAUUUUACCGACUGUGUCAUGAUCAUCCAAAGUUACAGAAGCAAAUCGUCUCGUUUUGCCCCUCGGCCUGUCUUCCGUAAGUUCGAUGGUUGCCGUACUUUUCAAAGCAGUCUCUCCACUGUAUCUUCCUUAACGCCGCCAACAGAGAUGGUGUUCCCUGUGAGACAGGCCCCAGGCUGCACUGAAUCCUCCCUAGAAACAGCUCUCCAGUUCCACUCCAGCCACCCGCUUUGUGGCCGUAUCCAGCUCUUCAGUGCAAGAGUAAAGUCACAAAGCCAAAGCCCCCGGAGCGUCUCGUCUGGGGCUCUCUCAUCACCCCCUGAUCUGUGAGCACCCCGCCCCAUUUCUCAAAAUGUUCUCUUAAGCUAUCAUUUGUAGUUUCGAAGCUCAGACCACCAGUCAAGCUACCCCAGCUGCUCCGGUUCCUUUGGGUCAUGGCCCUCCUCCCCCCUGGUGGUGGCAGCAACCACCUGAGUCAGGCUGGGGACCACUGGGCAGCAGUUUUACCUCCAUUUUGAGACAGACGCGCCUUUUCCAACUCGAGUUCAGUAUCUGUCACUGGGUUUUUUGAGACAGGGUCCGGCUACGUAGCUCAAGCUGAUCUUGAACUC